UAUAAAGAGAUCUAAAUUACUUUCUCUUAUUGCUAAGGACAGGCAAUGCUUUAUUUUUAUUGCCUUGCUGAGCUCUCAACCUAACGUCAGUCAUCAGCAAGGCUAUAUAAACUCUGAGCUAGUAAUUAGAGGGACUACUUUAAGACAUCAGACUUAUGCAUGAAGAGUUUGGAAGGAACUCUACUGGAAAAGAAAUGCAUAGGACUACAUCUCAGGAUGGGGAACAUAUGCACAAGACGCUCUCCUGAAGAGAUGUUAAACUCCAAGAAGAAAGAUGGAAAGUCGAAAGAAUGUCAGUGUACAAUGCAAGCAUGUAGAUUUAUAGCUGCUAUUGCCCAGCUGUGACCUGGUUAGCACUAAAAUGUGUCUACAGUGUAGAUAUAAGCUGAACAUAAUUCCCAUGUUAGUAGAUUGUCCACCCUUUUCUGAGUAUAUUUGUUUCCUACUGUUUCUAUGGAGAUCAAUUACACUUUAGCUUGCAUUAAGCAAGCAGGAGAAUCUGCCAGCUGUUCAGCAAAGGCCUGAUAAAGUAAUUUCUUCCAUCUCAUGUUGACAGCAAUGAUGCAAGUCAAAUACUGUAAAUGGAAAAGUUUUCUCUUAAACUAUGUUUUCUGGUAGUGACUAUGAUACUAUAUUAGCUUGUAUAUUGACUAGCCUGGCUUUUAGUGUUUGUAGUCCAAUAUCUGAGGACAGAGCUGCUACCCCUCUGGGGGAGGAGAGGGAACUAUUCCCUCUGUCUGCCAAGGUGAGAUGCUAUUUAAAAUCUAUAGGCUAAGUGCAAUGAAGCUCCUUGUUUGAGGAAUGUAACUGGUGCUCUUAGUCACUGUGCUGGGACUUCACUGUUGGCUGCUUUUUCCAUGUCCUAAAAUGAUAGAUUCUGGAGAAGAUAAGGUUAGAAGAGAAAAUGCUGUACAUGUUAGUAUGAAGAUCACCAAACAGAUCACUGACAGCGUUAGUGUCAUUACAGAGCCAGGAAUAAGACAGGUAGCAAUGGGUGGAAAGGAAGCAGUGCUAGAUAAAUGUGAAAAGCUGAUAGAGUACUCUUUUCUAGAUAAAAAAGGUGAAGAUUUAGGCAAGUAUAUAAUACGCUAGCUUUUGGCUUACUUGUCUACCUCAUAGGUAGUGCUGAUACUCCUUAAGUUCAAACUCUGUUCCUUUGGCAUCUGUCAACCUAUAUGCAUCCAUAAAGUGGGCUGGUUCCGAAAUGUUUUCAGUUUGACAGAGGGAUGUCUUAGUGGAGGGAAAUGUAGUAUUCAUCUCAUUCGUUGUCAUAAUGAUAGGCAGAAGGCUAGUAAGAGGGGUGACUGUGUGUGAUUUCAAGUAGUCAUGUCAGUAGAAAUGAGUCUGUGAGAGGGAAACCAGCUUGGCUGUGAAAAGUAAUUGCUAUUAUAAGAUUAAAGAGAAGUGACCCUGGAUAUAUGUUUCAAAUUUGUCUUUAGUAAAAUAUUUUUAUAAUGAUAGACAGAUAAAGUUGUAUAAAUCACUUUUUUCUUCGUGUUUGAUCUCUCUCUCUGAACUAAAGAAUGACAACUUUUUUGUUCUGUUCACUUAGCUAAGCUUCUGCAGUCUGAGAUGAAUGGUCUUAUGCACAAGUAAAAAAGGAGAAGGGCUAGUUUGUGCGUCUUGGUUCCUUUUCAUUUGUCUUUUCAAGUGUGCUUAUGAGUAUUUUCUAGUCCAGGUGAGAGAGGCUGAACAAUGCAUUCAAAAGAGUAUCUUAUCUAUCAGAUGUGCCACCUGGAGCAUCAACCUCUCUUUCAUGGUAUUUUUAGCUUGGUUCUGAAUUCCUAGUCUCUUCCAUAAUGGUAGAGUUUGGUGGUCAAAGUAAAGCAUGAGCUUGCACCUAUAAGUGAGGCAAUGCUUCCCUCUCUUCUAGAACCUAUUUUUCAGGGAAAAAAAAGAUUGUUACUGCAACUGUUCCAUGAAGUGUGAUGGGACCUUAAUCAAAAUAGUAUGGCCUAUCAACUUACUAUGCUGAGCAUCAUUUUGAGAGCCCAGAGAUAUAAGGAGAAGUGGAAGGAAACUUUAUAUAAUAAAAUGGUAGACACUUAUUUAGGUCUUGCAUGUUGACACCUUGCUUCACAGCCUCAAAGAACACAAUCAGAAAUAAAAAAAAACAAACAAGUUGAGCCAAAGAUGGCAGAAAUAUUGCAGGCAUCUCCCAAAAGGCAAGAAGGACAUAGGUCUCUCUUUGCAGCAAUAAAAGUUUGAUGUUUCUGUAGCACUUAAGAGUGUUGUGGGAAGGGCUUUAUAAGAAUUGAAACUAAUAACUGACAAGUAUCAACAGCAUAAUUGUGGGUGCUGCUGCUCUGUAUUUCACCGAGUGCCAGUGAAGCUCUGCUGUUUCCAAGUUCUAGCUUGGACUCUCAGUCAACAUCAGAGUACUUUCUCUCCUCUGGAGCAUAGUUCUUAAAUUUGCAAACACAGAUCUUUUACUAAUAGGAUCUACAUAUUCAUUAAGCCCUGUUCAACCUCUGCUUAAAGAGUCAUCUUGGUCUUGUCAGCUGGGAUCCACUUUCUUUGUAGCUGCUGCUAACUGAGAGAUGGCAUGCAGCUGUGGAAGCCAACUUUGAAAUAAACUUGCCCAGAGUUAGAAGCAGAAUGACUUCCCAUUUCUUAGCAGAUGCUGCCUCAAUUGUUUGUUGUGCCUUGGUCUAGUAUUCAGAAUUCAAGCCCUUUUUGAUUAGAAAUGCAUAGGGGAGAUCUCCUUGGCUUCUCCAUUGCCUAUUACUUUUCAGACUUCUCUGACAGUAUCUUAACACAAAGUCAAGAGGAGAUGAUCAGGUCCUGGGGAGACUCUGGGCUAUUGGCAUAUGUAAUGUGUAGUGCUUGCAACUUGAGUUGUAGACUGACAUUUCUCCUGGUAGCUGUGUGCAAAUUAUGCAGCUGCACAAAGCAAGGAAAAGAAGCCUGAAGUU